AGGUAAGCUACUAAGAGCGAAUGGUGGAUGCCUUGACUGGUAAAGGCGAUGAAGGACGUACUAGACUGCGAUAAGCUACGGGGAGCUGUCAAGAAGCUUUGAUCCGUAGAUUUCCGAAUGGGGCAACCCAAUGUAUAGAGAUAUACAUUACCUAUAUAGGAGCGAACGAGGGGAAUUGAAACAUCUUAGUACCCUCAGGAAAAGAAAUCAAUAGAGAUUGCGUCAGUAGCGGCGAGCGAAAGCGCAAGAGGGCAAACCCAGUGCUUGCACUGGGGGUUGUAGGACUGCAAUGUGCAAGAGGUGAGUUUAGCAGAACAUUCUGGAAAGUAUAGCCAUAGAGGGUGAUAGUCCCGUAUGCGAAAAACAAACCUUAGCUAGCAGUAUCCUGAGUAGGGCGGGACACGAGAAAUCCUGUCUGAAGCUGGGUCGACCACGAUCCAACCCUAAAUACUAAUACCAGAUCGAUAGUGCACAAGUACCGUGAGGGAAAGGUGAAAAGAACUGAGGUGAUCAGAGUGAAAUAGAACCUGAAACCAUUUGCUUACAAUCAUUCAGAGCCCUAUGUAGCAAUACAGGGUGAUGGACUGCCUUUUGCAUAAUGAGCCUGCGAGUUGUGGUGUCUGGCAAGGUUAAGCAAACGCGAAGCCGUAGCGAAAGCGAGUCUGAAUAGGGCGCUUAGUCAGAUGCUGCAGACCCGAAACGAAGUGAUCUAUCCAUGAGCAAGUUGAAGCUAGUGUAAGAACUAGUGGAGGACUGAACCCAUAGGCGUUGAAAAGCCCCGGGAUGACUUGUGGAUAGGGGUGAAAGGCCAAUCAAACUUCGUGAUAGCUGGUUCUCUCCGAAAUAUAUUUAGGUAUAGCGUUGUGUCGUAAUAUAAGGGGGUAGAGCACUGAAUGGGCUAGGGCAUACACCAAUGUACCAAACCCUAUCAAACUCCGAAUACCUUAUAUGUAAUCACAGCAGUCAGGCGGCGAGUGAUAAAAUCCGUCGUCAAGAGGGAAACAACCCAGACUACCAGCUAAGGUCCCUAAAUCUUACUUAAGUGGAAAACGAUGUGAAGUUACUUAAACAACCAGGAGGUUGGCUUAGAAGCAGCCAUCCUUUAAAGAAAGCGUAAUAGCUCACUGGUCUAGUGAUUUUGCGCGGAAAAUAUAACGGGGCUAAAGUAAGUACCGAAGCUGUAGACUUAGUUUACUAAGUGGUAGGAGAGCGUUCUAUUUGCGUCGAAGGUAUACCGGUAAGGAGUGCUGGAGCGAAUAGAAGUGAGCAUGCAGGCAUGAGUAGCGAUAAUUAAUGUGAGAAUCAUUAACGCCGUAAACCCAAGGUUUCCUACGCGAUGCUCGUCAUCGUAGGGUUAGUCGGGUCCUAAGUCGAGUCCGAAAGGGGUAGACGAUGGCAAAUUGGUUAAUAUUCCAAUACCAACAUUAGUGUGCGAUGGAAGGACGCUUAGGGCUAAGGGGGCUAGCGGAUGGAAGUGCUAGUCUAAGGUCGUAGGAGGUUAUACAGGCAAAUCCGUAUAACAAUACUCCGAGAACUGAAA
rnacentral:rRNA from 1 species